GUUACCUGUCAGAUUGGAGCCCUGAUCAUGGUCAAAUUUUGGAAAAAUGGUCUAACAAAAUUUUUAAAUGGCAUCGAAUUAAUGUCUUCCGGUGCUGGCGAAGAA